UACGUAGGGUGCAAGCGUUGUCCGGAAUUAUUGGGCGUAAAGAGCUCGUAGGCGGUCUGUCGCGUCUGCUGUGAAAACUCAGGGCUUAACCCUGAGCUUGCAGUGGGUACGGGCAGACUAGAGUGCGGUAGGGGAGACUGGAAUUCCUGGUGUAGCGGUGAAAUGCGCAGAUAUCAGGAGGAACACCGGUGGCGAAGGCGGGUCUCUGGGCAAUAACUGACGCUGGAGGAGCGAAAGCGUGGGAGCAAACAGGA
rnacentral:rRNA from 1 species